rnacentral:rRNA from 1 species
CUCAAUGAAUCAUUAAAUAGCCGCAUUCAUUUUGUGCUAAGGUAGCAUAAUCAUUUGUCUUUUAAUUUAAGACUAGAACGAAAGAUUUAACAUUUCAAUUUCUAUCUCAAGCAUAAUAAUUUAAAAUUUUCCUAAAUAUAAAAAGAUAUUUAUAUCUUAAAAAGACGAUAAGACCCUAUUGAACUUAACUUCAGUUUAACUGGGGCAGUUAAUCAAAUAUAAUUUUAAUUUUUAUAACUACAAAAUAGACCUUACACAAUAAACUACUUGAUCAAGUUACCAUAGGGAUAACAGCGCAAUAAUUUUUUCAAGAUCUUAUUUCUAAAAUAGCUUGCGACCUCGAUGUUGAAUUAAUAUCCUAUUAAAUGCAAAAAUUUAAAAAUGGAAGUCUGUUCGACUU